CGACCUGCUAAAUAGUUGACUGAAUCUUUUUGGUUGGGAUUGACUUCUUAGAGGGACUUUUUGUGGUUAGCAAAAGGAAGUUCGAGGCAAUAACAGGUCUGUGAUGCCCUUAGAUGUUCUGGGCCGCACGCGCGCUACACUGAUCGGUUCAUCAGCAUACAACCUUGACCGAGAGGUCUGGGUAAUCUUGUGAAAACCUGAUCGUGCUGGGGAUAGAUCAUUGAAAUUAUUGAUCUUCAACGAGGAAUUCCUAGUAAACGCGAGUCAUCAACUCGCAUUGAUUACGUCCCUGCCCUUUGUACACACCGCCC
rnacentral:rRNA from 1 species